GUAUGCGUCUCUCCAUGCCGGUAAACACGGCUGUAUUGUGGGUGACUGACCGGGGAGCACAGAGCUAAGCAGGCUUAUCGAUGUAGAAGUUUGGGACCGUGUUCGCUCGUUUCAAUUGCGUGUAUGCGUCUCUCCAUGCCGGUAAACACGGCUGUAUUGUGGGUGACUGACCGGGGAGCACAGAGCUAAGCAGGCUUAUCGAUGUAGAAGUUUGGGACCGUGUUCGCUCGUUUCAAUUGCGUGUAUGCGUCUCUCCAUGCCGGUAAACACGGCUGUAUUGUGGGUGACUAACCGGGGAGCACAGAGCUAAGCAGGCUAAUCGCUGUAGAAGUUUGGGACCGUGUUCGCUCGUUUCAGUUGCGUGUAUGCGUCUCUCCAUGCCGAUAAACACGGCUGUAUUUUGGGUGACUAUCCGGGGAGCACAGAGCUAAGCAGGUGAAUCGCUGUAGAAGUUUGGGACCGUGUUCGCUCGUUUCAAUUGCGUGCAUGUGUCUCUCUCACUUGUAAACACAACGUUAUUCAGGCGGUGUUGGAAACGUGUGUUUAUGUUAAAGUAGGGAACAAGUUAUAGUCGAAUUGGGGCAGAUUCAGGAAAGUUAAUGAAGUAGAAAGCCAGUCUUUUGAGCAUGAUCUGUAUUAUUGUUUUAACCUUUACUAUUUUCCAUACCAGGAUCGUUUUAUCCACACGGGCACACAAACAGAAGCUCCAAGUGUGAGAACAUGUGCCACUCAACUGUCAAUUGGGACCUUGAAAGCACACGUGCACAGCCAAAGGACCCAGACACCAGUGUUGUCACAUGAGACUGCUGGCACACAAACCACACUACCGGAGUACAUGUUUUCAUCCACACCUAUAAAGGUGCCAGGGUUUGGACCACAAAAAAGAGCAGGUGUUGAGUCAGAGGAGGAAGAGGGAUUCACCUCACCAGAGUCACAAGUCGACCCAAAUGACCCAACCUUUACUCCUGGCGGAUCCCUAACAACACAUGAUUCAACAAUGUUGACGGAAAGUGCUGUAUACAUGGAUAAAAAAUGCAUUGUAUUUGAGUCCUGCCUGAGGGAGCUUUUUGACACAUGUCCAGUGUGCAAGAGAAAUUGCGAAGUGCAGCAGCAACAGAAGGGCACGUAUGUUGCAUUUCAUCAAACGUGUCCAAAAUGCAACUACUCCAGGAAGUGGCAAAGUCAGCCCAUGAUUAAGAACACCCCAGUUGGCAAUGUACAGUUAUCUGCUGCUACAUAUUUCACUGGUGCAUCCUUCAUCCAGCUGGAAAAGCUAUGCCGCGCCUUGCAGCUCCAGAUUUCUCAUUAUGACACCUUCCGGAAACAUGCAAGGAAAUACCUGGAACCUGCAAUCGUCCACAAGUGGAAGAGUGACCAGCAGGUCCUUUUCUCCACAUUGAAACCGGGGGGGGAAAGUUCAAGUUGCAGGAGACAUGCGUGCAGAUUCUCCAGGGCACUCUGCAAAAUUUGGGAGCUAUUCCUUGAUGCACAUGGACAGCAACAAAAUUUUGGACCUCCAGCUAGUUCAGAGCAAUGAAGUGGGUGGUAGCUACCACAUGGAAAAGGAGGGACUACGACGAAGUCUGUACUACAGUGCAACGUCCUCAACAUCGGGCCCAGAGAAGGUUGUACCUUGCAUCCAUGCAUCACAACGAAAAUUCCAGCCGUGAGCAGGCAACAACAGCUUUAGGCCAAGCUGUCUACAGAGUGUCGUAUUCGAAGGCCAAGAAGGGAGAACCCACCGCAAAGCCGGUCAAAACAGACCCCACGUACAACUAUGUGGCUGAAUUGAUGAGGCUGGUGUUCGAGGAGGUGAUGGAGGACCCAGAGUCUUUCGCUGAGGACAUGAGGAAGAUCGCCAUCCCAGAGACCCUGUCAGCCCAGUAUGACAGACCCUCAAAGGAGGAAGUCAUUGCCUCACACGUGACCCGCUUCAGUCAAGGGGUGGGCGGAAGCCAACAUAUUGUCCAGCCAGAUCAGGAAACUCCUGGCGUAUCCGACACACGACGGGAUGACAACUCGUACACGUCGUCCCAAAUAUCCCCAGCACCAGCUGACAAAGCUGCGGUAUGCUAAAUGCCGGUAGCGACUGGAAAGUGGAUAGAAAUGUAAAAAAAUUAAAUGCUGCUCUUGCACUGUGCACAUUUUGUGUAAAAAGUUUUUAUUAAACAUUUCUAAGACACAA